AUGGGCGAGCGCAUUCGUGCUAGUGCCGCUUGCUGCGGGUUUGAGACCCAGUGGGUGGUGGGCCUAGGCCUUAUUGGCCGGGAGCCUGACCUUGAUUCCCACUGGGAGCCAGAGGAACCAGAGCUGCAGGAGGUGGAGAGGUACCCGCUUUUCCCUGGCCCUCAGCUUGAAGCAGCACCUGGCUCCCCUGCGUCCCCUUGGCGCUGGGGGUCCUGCCAGACAGCAGCCCUGGUUCCUUCUUACCCCUUGUCAGGGCCCAGCGCCAGGUGUUCAGCUCCCCUGGGACCACUGGUUCCUUCACUAAUGGCGUAUUUCAUCGCCAGUUUAGAGAGUUUGGCAUGCUCAAGGGCAGUUGUUGUUUUAGAGGUGCAGAAGUUUGUACCCACAUUGGAGCAGAAGCUGAAGCAGGAUAAAAAAUUCCUUAAGAAAGCUGGGCUUGCCUAGCUCCCGCAGCUCCAGGGCUCCGGAAACACCUCAAAACUGCUCCCUGCAGGCCACUCUCUAGCAGGAUCUUUGCUUAUGCCAGGGCAUGAAGCCUCAUCCAAAGACCCGAAACACAGCACAACUUUGAAAGCAAUAGAUUCAAAGACUCACGGGGAAAAUACACCAAGGAGAUGGAAGGGAAGAAAUGAAGGAAUCCAGGGCCUGGAAGAGAGCUUUUGCAGCCCUGGGUCAUCAGGCAGAGCUGCAGAAGUACUCCAGUGAUUGUGGGAGCACCAAAAGGACUGGCCAUGGUGGGCUGCUAAGUGAUCAGAAGCUGGCGUAAAGGCAAGGGAGCGGGUAACUGCAGCAGCAAAGUAGUGCACAGGGGGCAGGGGUUCUUUGACAGCAAUGGGAACUUCCUGGACAGAAUUUGAGUCGUGGCUUGGCUCGUGGAGAUGCCUCGUGAAACACAGCUGGGCAAAUAUUAAUAUAUAUGGAACAGCCUGGAAUUCCGUGUAUGGAUAAGCCAGCUUGGAGCAGGAAGAAGUGAUGAGGCUGGGAUGUGGGAGGAAAGAGCUGCGUGGAUAGAAUCAAACUUCCUGUAGUAGGGCUCCCAGUCUGACCUCUGUAGAUCCUCAGUACUCAACCAUUCUUACCUGGGCUCUCUGUAUGUUGAAAACCAGUCUGUGUUGCAUGUAUUGUUAUAAUUUUCUGUUGUACUUGCAAUAUACAUUUAAGCGGAAGUGAAAAGUUUGACUUCUAACCUCAUUUCCUUCUUUAUCAGUGAACACUAACAGUUCUGGGAAAACUUAGUCAAUUGGUUUUCCUUACAAGCAAAAACAAGUAAAAUGUAGCA